rnacentral:rRNA from 1 species
UACAGAGGUGGCAAGCGUUGUUCGGAAUUACUGGGCGUAAAGGGCGCGUAGGCGGUCUUUUAAGUCUUGUGUGAAAUCCCUCGGCUCAACUGAGGAACUGCACGGGAUACUGGAAGACUUGAGUUCGGGAGAGGGAAGCGGAAUUCCGGGUGUAGCGGUGAAAUGCGUAGAUAUCCGGAGGAACACCGGUGGCGAAGGCGGCUUCCUGGACCGAUUACUGAGCUGAGGCGCGAAAGCGUGGGGGAGCAAACGGG